rnacentral:tRNA from 1 species
UCCAAGGUGGCUCAGUGGUAAAUCAUCUGCCUGUCAGGCAGAAGACCCAGGUUCAAUCCCUGGGUUGGUA